rnacentral:rRNA from 1 species
GGCGAACGCUGGCGGCGUGCUUAACACAUGCAAGUCGAACGUGAUUUUUGUGGAAAUUCUUUCGGGAAUGGACAUGAAAUGAAAGUGGCGAACGGGUGAGUAACACGUGAGCAACCUACCUUACACAGGGGGAUAGCCGUUGGAAACGACGAUUAAUACCGCAUGAGACCACAGAAUCGCAUGAUAUAGGGGUCAAAGAUUUAUCGGUGUAAGAGGGGCGCGGGUCUGAUUAGCUAGUUGGAAGGGUAAAGGCCUACCAAGGCGACGAUCAGUAGCCGGGCUGGGAGGCGGAGCGGCGAGGUUGGAGCGAGGGCGCGGGCGAGACUCCGAGGGGGGGGGGGGGUGGGGAAUAGUGCGCGAGGGGGGGAACCGUGAUGCAGCGGCGCCGGGGGAGCGGGGAAGGGGGUCGAAGCGUAAAGCUCGGUGCGAUGAGGAGAUAGUGACGGUAUCAGAGGAGGAAGCCCCGGCUAAAUACGUG